rnacentral:misc_RNA from 1 species
GAUGAAGAACGUAGCGAAAUGCGAUACGUAAUGUGAAUUGCAGAAUUCAGUGAAUCAUCGAAUCUUUGAACGCAUAUUGCGCUCUCUGGUAUUCCGGAGAGCAUGCUUGUUUGAGUAUCAGUAAACACCUCAACUUCCAUAUCUUUUUUGAAAUGGGAGUUGGACUUGAGUGAUCCCAACGCUUUUCCUCACCGAAAAGUGGCGGGUUACUUGAAAUGCAGGUGCAGCUGGACUUCUCUCUGAGCUAUAAGCAUAUCUAUUUAGUCUGCCUAAAAAACAGAUUAUUACCUUUGCUGCAGCUAACAUAAAGGAGAUUAGUUCUUGUGCUGACUGAUGCAGGAUUCACAAAGACAGGCUUCGGCCGACUUUGUAAACUCGAUCUCAAAUCAAGUAAGACUACCCGCUGAACUUAAGCAUAUCAAUAAGCGGAGGA